rnacentral:rRNA from 1 species
CCUACGGGAGGCUGCAGUGGGGAAUAUUGCACAAUGGGGGAAACCCUGAUGCAGCGACGCCGCGUGAGUGAAGGAGUAUUUCGGUACGUAAAGCUCUAUCAGCAGGGAGGAAAAUGACGGUACCUGACUAAGAAGCCCCGGCUAACUACGUGCCAGCAGCCGCGGUAAUACGUAGGGGGCAAGCGUUAUCCGGAUUUACUGGGUGUAAAGGGAGCGUAGACGGCAGCGCAAGUCUGGAGUGAAAUCCCAUGGCUUAACCAUGGAACUGCUUUGGAAACUGUGCAGCUAGAGUGCAGGAGAGGUAAGCGGAAUUCCUAGUGUAGCGGUGAAAUGCGUAGAUAUUAGGAGGAACACCAGUGGCGAAGGCGGCUUACUGGACUGUAACUGACGUUGAGGCUCGAAAGCGUGGGGAGCAAACAGGAUUAGAUACCCUUGUAGUC